AUUUGCUGUUACAUAAUCGACACAUCGUGUACGAGAUCAAACUGUCCCUGAUUCUGAUUCUAGGAACUGUAAUUAUCUUAAUCUGUGUCAUGUACAUCGUAUCUCAGUGCAAACGCAGGAGGGCCGCGGGUGUCAAAAGUACCAAAAACCGUUGUAACGAUUGUGACCGGAAAGCCUUAUUACGACAUUCAUCGGAAGUGUCGCAAAUGUUGACUGACAACGAAAUCAUUGGCAAAACUAAAAUCGGCAAAGAAUUUUUCGUGUGAAACGAUUGUUAUGCCAAACAACAAUCUAGCUACUCAACGCAAUAUCCAUUCUAUCACUGCCAGAAUUAUGUAUUCAUAUUUGCAUUGUGUGUUUACUCUUUGUGAGGAAUAGAGUAUUCCCUUUGGAGAUUUCCGUAGUGUGUGGUUGUCAUUAUUUACCAAUCGUAGGAUUUAUCGACUAACAUAUAAACCCUAUGAAAAAGUAUUACAUUUUACAAGUUGUUUGUGAAUAUGAUUCAUAGGUGCAAUUAAUGUUUUUCUUUCUUAUGAAUUGAAUAAGAUUUGGUGCGGAUGUGACUGAAAUGGUGUGUUCUGAUCAAUUUUUCAUUUUAAAUUAUUUAUUUUUUUGGUUUUUUUCAUUUUUUGUAUGAAACUUUUAACCUUGUAUAUAACAUUUUCAGAGUUUUAAACUUAAUGAAGUUUGAAAAUGAAGUUUGUUUUUAAUCACGAUAAUGUAUAUAUACCUUUACUUUUUAAAGCGGUCACUCAAAUACCGUUUGUGAAUAUGUCAACUUUACUUUCAUCUGUAAUUGUAUAAAAAACCUUCUUUUUAUACACCUAUAUAAACAUAUACAC
rnacentral:sRNA from 1 species